AUUGAACGCUGGCGGCAGGCUUAACACAUGCAAGUCGAGCGGGGGAAGGUAGCUUGCUACCGGACCUAGCGGCGGACGGGUGAGUAAUGCUUAGGAAUCUGCCUAUUAGUGGGGGACAACAUCUCGAAAGGGAUGCUGAUACCGCAUACGUCCUACGGGAGAGAGCAGGGGAUCUUCGGACCUUGCGCUAAUAGAUGAGCCUAAGUCGGAUUAGCUAGUUGGUGGGGUAAAGGCCUACCAAGGCGACGAUCUGUAGCGGGUCUGAGAGGAUGAUCCGCCCCACUGGGACUGGGACACGGCCCAGACUCCUACGGGAGGCAGCAGUGGGGAAUAUUGGACAAGGGGGGGAACCCUGAUCCAGCCAUGCCGCGUGUGUGAAGAAGGCCUUAUGGUUGUAAAGCACUUUAAGCGAGGAGGAGGCUACUCUAGUUAAUACCUAGGGAUAGUGGACGUUACUCGCAGAAUAAGCACCGGCUAACUCUGUGCCAGCCGCCGCGGUAA
rnacentral:rRNA from 1 species